GACGAACGCUGGCGGCGUGCUUAACACAUGCAAGUCGAACGGUGAAGCGCCUUCCUUUUUGGUGGGUGUGGAUGAGUGGCGAACGGGUGAGUAACACGUGAGUAACCUGCCCCCUUCUUCUGGAUAACCGCAUGAAAGUGUGGCUAAUACGGGAUAUUCUGGGUCUGUCGCAUGAUGGGUCUGGGAAAGAUAUUGUUUCGGUGGGGGAUGGGCUCGCGGCCUAUCAGCUUGUUGGUGGGGUGAUGGCCUACGAAGGCGGUGACGGGUAGCCGGCCUGAGAGGGUGGACGGUCACACUGGGACUGAGACACGGCCCAGACUCCUACGGGGGGCAGCAGUGGGGAAUAUUGCACAAUGGGCGAAAGCCUGAUGCAGCGACGCCGCGUGAGGGAUGGAGGCCUUCGGGUUGUGAACCUCUUACGCCAGUGAAGCAGGCCUGCCUCGUUUGUGGGUGGGUUGACGGUAGCUGGAUAAGAAGCGCCGGCUAACUACGUG
rnacentral:rRNA from 1 species